rnacentral:rRNA from 1 species
GGUUCAUUCAAAUUUCUGCCCUAUCAACUUUCGAUGGUAAGGUAUUGGCUUACCAUGGUUUCAACGGGUAACGGGGAAUUAGGGUUCGAUUCCGGAGAGGGAGCCUGAGAAACGGCUACCACAUCCAAGGAAGGCAGCAGGCGCGCAAAUUACCCAAUCCCGACCGGGGAGGUAGUGACAAUAAAUACUGAUACAGGGCUCUUUUGGGUCUUGUAAUCGGAAUGAGUACAAUUUAAACCCCUUAACGAGGAACAAUUGGAGGGCAAGUCUGGUGCCAGCAGCCGCGGUAAUUCCAGCUCCAAUAGCGUAUAUUAAAGUUGUUGCAGUUAAAAAGCUCGUAGUUG